AGAGUUUGAUCAUGGCUCAGAAUGAACGCUGGCGGCGUGCCUAACACAUGCAAGUCGAACGAGAAAAUUCUGCUUCGGCGGGAUGAGUAAAGUGGCGCACGGGUGAGUAACGCGUGGGUAACCUGCCCUCGAAUCGGGGAUAACUUCGCGAAAGCGUAGCUAAUACCGGAUACUGUCCCCAAGGUUGUGGCCCUGGGGAUGAAAGGUGACCUCUUCAUGAAAGUUGCCGUUUGGGGAGGGGCUCGCGUAUCAUUAGCUAGUAGGUGGGGUAAGGGCCUACCUAGGCAACGAUGGUUAGCGGGUCUGAGAGGAUGAUCCGCCACACUGGAACUGGAACACGGACCAGACUCCUACGGGAGGCAGCAGUGAGGAAUUUUGCGCAAUGGGGGCAACCCUGACGCAGCGACGCCGCGUGGGUGAAGAAGGCCUUCGGGUUGUAAAGCUCUGUCAGAUGGGAAUAAGUUCAAUCAUGUUAAGAGCAUGGUUGUUUGAAGGUACCAUCAGAGGAAGCACCGGCUAACUCCGUGCCAGCAGCCGCGGUAAUACGGAGGGUGCAAGCGUUGUUCGGAAUCACUGGGCGUAAAGGGCACGCAGGCGGCCGAUCAAGUCAGGUGUGAAAUUCCAGGGCUCAACCCUGGACGUGCAUCUGAAACUGGUUGGCUUGAGUAUGGGAGAGGAAAGUGGAAUUCCCGGUGUAGAGGUGAAAUUCGUAGAUAUCGGGAGGAAUACCUGAGGCGAAGGCGACUUUCUGGACCAAUACUGACGCUGAGGUGCGAAAGCGUGGGUAGCGAACAGGAUUAGAUACCCUGGUAGUCACAGCUGUAAACGAUGUGCACUAGAUGUUGGGGGAGUUGACCCCUUCAGUGUCGCAGCUAACGCGAUAAGUGCACCGCCUGGGGAGUACGGCCGCAAGGUUAAAACUCAAAGGAAUUGACGGGGGCCCGCACAAGCGGUGGAGUAUGUGGUUUAAUUCGAUGCAACGCGAAGAACCUUACCUGGUCUUGACAUCCCGGGGAUCUCCUGGAAACAGGGGAGUGCUUCUUAAGGAAGAGCCCGGAGACAGGUGCUGCAUGGCUGUCGUCAGCUCGUGUCGUGAGAUGUUGGGUUAAGUCCCGUAACGAGCGCAACCCACGCCUUUAGUUGCCAUCAUUUGGUUGGGCACUCUAGAGGGACAGCCCCGGUUAACGGGGAGGAAGGUGUGGAUGACGUCAAGUCCUCAUGGCCCUUAUGGCCAGGGCUACACACGUACUACAAUGGACGGUACAAAGGGCAGCGACACUGCGAGGUGGAGCUAAUCCUGAAAGCCGUUCUCAGUCCGGAUCGGAGUCUGCAACUCGACUCCGCGAAGCUGGAAUCGCUAGUAAUCGUGGAUCAGAAAGUCACGGUGAAUACGUUCCCGGGCCUUGUACACACCGCCCGUCACACCACGAAAGUCGGCUGUACCAGAAGACGUUGAGCUAACCUUCGGGAGGCAGGCGUCCAAGGUAUGGCUGGUAAUUGGGGUGAAGUCGUAACAAGGUAA
rnacentral:rRNA from 1 species